UACGAAGGGGGCUAGCGUUGUUCGGAAUUAUUGGGCGUAAAGAGCUCGUAGGCGGUUUGUCGCGUCUGCUGUGAAAACCUAAGGCUCAACCUUGGGCUUGCAGUGGGUACGGGCAGACUAGAGGUAUGCAGGGGAGAACGGAAUUCCUGGUGUAGCGGUGAAAUGCGCAGAUAUCAGGAGGAACACCGGUGGCGAAGGCGGGUAGCUGGGCCGACACUGACGCUGAUGCGCGAAAGCCAGGGGAGCGAACGGG
rnacentral:rRNA from 1 species